GCACAAUCCAUGCAGAACCCAACUGAUGCAGAGUGCAGGACUCAUGGGAGAAGACAAGAAUUUAGGCUGGGGCCUGAAAUUCCCAUUCCAGUCUAACUGACUUCAACCAUAAAGCGGAUGUCAUAAAAUGCAGUUCAUGACAUAGAAGAUGUGUUCAUUCCAGGAACAGAGACAGCAACUGGCCUGGAAAAACCUGUG